rnacentral:rRNA from 1 species
AAACCAACAGGGAUUGCCUUAGUAGCGGCGAGUGAAGCGGCAAAAGCUCAAAUUUGAAAUCUGGCACUUUCAGUGUCCGAGUUGUAAUUUGUAGAAGCAACUUUGGAUUUGGUCCUUGCAUAAGUUCCUUGGAAUAGGACGUCAUAGAGGGUGAGAAUCCCGUUUAUGGUGAGGAUACCAUUUCUUUGUAAAGUGCUUUCGAAGAGUCGAGUUGUUUGGGAAUGCAGCUCUAAGUGGGUGGUAAAUUCCAUCUAAAGCUAAAUAUUGGCGAGAGACCGAUAGCGAACAAGUACUGUGAAGGAAAGAUGAAAAGAACUUUGAAAAGAGAGUGAAAAAGUACGUGAAAUUGUUGAAAGGGAAGGGCUUGAAAUCAGACUUGGUAUUCAGUGAUCAAUUACCUUUCGGGGUGGUGCACUCGCUGUUUACUGGGCCAGCAUCGGUUUGAGCGGUAGGAUAAUGACUUAGGAAUGUGGCUCCUUGGAGUGUUAUAGCCUUUGUUGAUACUGCCAGUUCGGACCGAGGACCGCGUCUUUUGACUAGGAUGCUGGCGUAAUGAUUUUAAGCCAC